rnacentral:ncRNA from 25 species
GUGACCGUGCACGGGAGCCCCGGGAGGGGGCUGAGAGGGCGCGGCGCGCCGACCGUCGAACCUGAUCUGGGUCAUGC